UUUGAAUAGCUGUUAAGUUUAAAGAAUAAAAAUCCUUAUAAUAUAUUGCUUCUCUUUAGCCAAACACAGUUAACGACCACAACAAAAAGGGGGAGUAGUGAGGUAAGGGGACUUGAACCAAAAGACCUUUCUUAAAUAAAAAAAAAAAGUAUGCAAGUCAAAAGGUCAUUCUCCAAGUUUGUAAAUAAAAUUGCGAAGGGAGUCCUUAAAAAAGAAAGGAGAGGGAAGAAGGAAGGAAGGUAAAAAAGAUACACAAGUUACAUAAAAUGGUGCAUUGGACAAACAAGACGGGUUCUUUGGGGAAAAAAAAGUCUAAAGAAUCAAGAGGGAAAAAAUCCUGAAAGAAAAAAGAAAAAGAGGGAGAAUAAAAUAAAAGGUAGAAAAGGCAAAAGAAGUUUCCAAAGAAAUGUGUGUUUUGCAUCCUACAAUAGGAAAAUGUAGCCACUGCCCUCCUUCAGACGAGACAUUUCUAAUUUGUUCCGUCUGUCAGGAAGGGACUAUGAGAGGUUUGGGUGCAAAUUCAUUAUCUCUGGCAACGCAGAACGUAGUGUGGGGACUGAAAAAGACCGUGGCAAUGGAUGAACAAUAGGGCUUCAGUUCAUCAGCAACAAAAGCAGUGGGGAAAUUGGUUGAGUUUCUAAGCACGUCCUCCUCGGCAGAGGGGGCUGGACUAGACCUUGGACAGCCCCCCCAAAAACUUGCCGAGCCUCGCACACACCACUUCACUCUCCACUCCGAGGCUAAGAGAGCAAGUGCCUGGCGCGGGGGGUAAAAGUUGGCUUUUUUUCCUCCUUGGGCUUUUGCCCCCUUAUUUCUCACCCCAGAAGGGAAGACCCGUUUAAACUAUUUUAGACGCAAUCAAGCAAGAAUCACUGUGUGGAAUUGAGCGGCAGUUUUAAAUGUGCUAAAGAGAGGGAUGAGCUGAAUUUUUUUUUCUUUUUUUGAGACGCCGAAAGAAGCUGUUUGUGUACUGCAGCCGCCCUGUUACUGUGGAUCUUGUCUUCUGGCCGGUGCCUCGAUUCCCGACCAGCUGGAUUUGGGGGCAACACUGCCUGACGCAGGGAGAACAAAAGAGACUACAAAGAAGCAUAAAAUGAAUAGACAAUCCAACCAACCAAAGACCGGGGGCAGCACGCCAGCAAGAAGGCAUCUUCUCCUUCCCAGCCUAGACGCCCUGGGAAAUCGAGGAUCUUCCCCCAAAAACACACACACACAAGAUAUGUGCAAUCAAGCUGCCACCGCUCGGUGAAAAGCUCAUGGUGCCUAACCCCAAAGGAUCGGGAGAGAUCCUUGAAUCAGCUGUCACUUCUUCUAUAGAAUGGGAUUUUUUUCCUUCCUCCUUAACCUGCGUUGGAAAUUGCCGUUGGCUUUAUACAUCUCUAUAGAGGGAGGCUAAAGAGUCUUGCGUGAGAAUGAAGCAAUUUACAAUGCAAAUAGAGGCCUGUGAAGGGACGGACGCUGCUGCUCACUCUUUACCGCUUGCUGCACCAUAAUAGCUGGUUUUAUUUUCUGAUAUUAAUAGAUGAAUUGUUGGCUAACGCUGCCGGAGAUUACUUGCUGAAAGAAAAAAAAAGUUCGGAAUAAACUUUGAAAGCAACAGAUCUCGUUUGGAUGUUUUAGCCGCACACACAAACAGAAACCAGGUCAUAUUUAUAUACAAGGAUGCAUCUUAUGCACGGCAAGUACCCUGGAGGACUACUCUAACGUACUGCCAGAAAAGAUCGGGAUGUGGAGUCUGGCCUGAGGAAGACAGAGGCGUAUGAGGGAAGUGAGUUGUUAUCUUUGGUUAUCUAGCUGUAUGAGUGUAUUGGUCUUCAUAAAGCUAGAUAACCGAAAGUAAAAACUCCUUCAAGAUCGCCGGAGAGCGUGUGAGUGAAAGACUUCAACCAAGAGACACUAAAAACCAGAAAGGUCAGGAAUACUUACUGAAUCUAACUUUGCUUUUGUUUUUGUUUUUCCUUAUGAUUGAAGGUGGGAUUAGAGGAAGUUAAGUAAUACAUUUAUGCCAAAACAUAAAGAUGCCAGAUACUUUGUGAGGGCUUAUUACAGCUGCAAAGGAUUAUUGCAUUGUGCUAAUGAGUAAAGAUGCAUGUGCAGUUUGUCCUACUUUAAUGCAGAAGUUUAUAUAUGAGUUGGUUUCUUCUUCUUCUUAGAGAGCUGUUGUGCAGAUAGAUGUGUUUGAUGCUAGCUCAAAAAUGAUUCCAUAGUACAUAGACUUAGGCUGUUCCCUUCUGAGGCACUUCCCUUGAAAAAUUAGAAGAUAAUGCGUGGGAACUGCAAGUGGGUUGUACGUCAAAGUAUACGAAAUUAGAUUUUGAGAAAAGUUUAUACUGGAAGGUCAAUAGACCUAUGAGGACAUUGAGCUAGCAGGGAAAAACGCCAACAAAUAAAAAUUUAAAAAAAUAAAUAAAAGCAAAGGCUGAUUUUUAUUCUUCUAUUCAAAAUAGAAGGACAGAUGCUUCUCUGUUCCAAGAGGGUUUCCUUGAGGAAGCUACUGAAGCAGAAAGACAUGAUGGAGACGAGAUCGCCUCCCCUCUUGUCAAAGUGUUAAAAAAAUGUUCUGUCUUACUCUGCGCCUAGCAUUGGAAAUGAAAGUGACAUUUACGCAACAACCCACGUGUGCGCCUCCUCUCUUUUUGUUUAAGGAUGAUCAGGUCUAUCCAGGAAACAGCUCUGGCAUCCCAAACUGAAAUAAUUAGGACGUAUAUAGACCUGACAAAAAUGGAAAGGGGGUGGGGAAUCUGAGGGUCUGUCUUGCCUAAUUGAUUCCGAUAAACGGAAUGCAGGAGAUGUGAACGGCAGGACGCUCCGAUUCCCACGCUCGGGGGCAAGUGGUAAAGCGGGCCGGCAGCCUAUGACAGACAGCCCUGUUUGGGGGGUGGGGGUAUGAAAAAAAACAUGAAGUGCACACACCAUACUCAUCUCCAUCGCUUAAGAAAGUAGAGGCAUUUCCCACCCACAGCCAUCUGCAGGCUCCCAAAUGGCAGCACCAAAUGGUCUGUAGCUGCUGCAUACUGUCUGUUUCUGUUAAUUUUAUAACUAAUGUUUAAUCUGGCCGUAAUUAAGUUUGGCUUUCUUCUUUGGUUGAGAUUUUCAAUAUUUAAGGAAAGCUAGUCAAGAGCAGUUCUAAGGAAAUCCCAUUCCUGCCUGCUCCUCCUGUCAAAUUCUCAGUCUGUACUUUUGGCCUUGAGACCACCUUUUGGCUUUUGUUUUAGGUGCGUUAUAUUUAAAAAUACAUAUUUCUAUAUAAUAGACAUUGUUAUCGCUUCAUUAGGCUGUUUACCUCUUAACAUGAUAGAUCUAAGAAUUUAGCCUAGUUAUGCUAGUGGACAAACACUGGAAAGUAAAGCUAUAAAAUCAUCAACCUAUAGAAAGUUUAUUGCAAUAACAACAUGGUAAAAGGUUGUUUUGGUACUGUCCCAGCGAGAUGCAGUCUAAACAGUCAUUUCUAUUUAACCUAAAAAUGACUCUGCUUAACAGAAACUUUGGCAUUUUGGUGAUCCUAUUGUACUCUUUUUGUAAAAGUUCUUAUAUUUUCCAUGUGUCACCAAGCAAAAAUAUGUAUAACCAUUUAAACAUAAAUACAAAUAUUGCAAUAGGAAAUGUCCCAAGUGGCCUGUUACUUCCAUGUGGCUUAGAUUACUGACAAUCCCAGAUCCCAAAUACACAGUUUUUCUUCAAAAGCAUUACAUUUUCCUUUGUUGCUCUAAGUCCUUGUAAUACUUCAUCCUGGAGAAGCCUGUAAAACCACUGUUAACUUCCGUUAGAAUCUCUGAGAGACUUUAUUAACGUAAAUUCUCAAUAUGGCUGCUGAACACGUGCCAAAGUUUUACUACGGUAGUGACCGUUGAGAAGACCCUUGUUUAUUUACAUUUGAAGCACUGUUUGUGCAAACAACCUUUCAUUGUUAAGUGCCUGUAUUCCUUUCAUUUACUUCAUGUCCAGGGGUGCUAUUUACCUAGAUCAUUGUCUACUACAAUUACAUUUACAUUACAAAGUGUGUGGUUUUCUUUCUCAAGGAGGUUCAAUUAAGGCAAUAAGAUGUUUGCUGGGGAAACCUAUUGUUUACUGAAAGCACUCAAUGGAGUCAAAUUACUGAAGCUUUUGCCUACAUCUUGGUCUUUUAUGUAAAUGUGUUAAAUACAACAUCUAAGGAAAAUAAACAAUAUUAUAAUUCUGUGUUUGCCAUUGUCAUAUCAAACUUGCUUUGUAUCAUACUAAUGUUACAUGACUUAUCGAUCAAUAAAAAUACAUUUCAAUGUUA